CCUACGGGGGGCAGCAGUGGGGGAUAUUGCACAAUGGGGGGAACCCUGAUGCAGCGACGCCGCGUGGGUGAAGAAGCGCCUCGGCGCGUAAAGCCCUGUCAGCAGGGAAGAAAAUGACGGUACCUGACGAAGAAGCCCCGGCUAACUACGUGCCAGCAGCCGCGGUAAUACGUAGGGGGCAAGCGUUAUCCGGAUUUACUGGGUGUAAAGGGGGCGCAGACGGCGAUGCAAGCCAGGAGUGAAAGCUCGGGGCCCAACCACGGGACUGCUGUUGGAACUGCGGGGCUGGAGUGCGUGAGGGGCAGGCGGAAUUCCUGGUGUAGCGGUGAAAUGCGUAGAUAUCAGGAGGAACACCGGUGGCGAAGGCGGCCUGCUGGACUGCAACUGACGUUGAGGCCCGAAAGCGUGGGGAGCAAACAGGAUUAGAUACCCCUGUAGUC
rnacentral:rRNA from 1 species